rnacentral:lncRNA from 1 species
UCGGAGAAGAAACAUCAGCAGCCAAUCGCAUGUUUCGAUGAGGAAGUGUCAGCAAACCUUGCUGCUGACUUGGGUCUUGAGCCUCUGGAAGAAGUAGAAAACUAUGUUAACAGGGAACUGAAAGACUUUAGUAGUUUGGUUAAAGUAUGGACACUUCCUUUCGACGAUUCUGCGGAGGAGGAGAAUACUUAUUCCAUGUUUAUCUGCUAUGUGGCUCUUGGUGAUGAGUGGCGUCUCCUUGUAUGUAAAUUCAAACUAGUUG